GACGAACGCUGGCGGCGGGCCUAACACAUGCAAGUCGAACGGAAAGGCCCUGCUUUCGUGCGGUGCCCGAGUGUGGAACGGGUGAGUAACAUGUGAGUAACCUGCCCUUGACUUUCGGAUAACUUCACGAAACUCGGGUUAAUACCGGAUCGCAUCUCCUCCUGCAUGGUGGGUGGUGGAUCUUUUCGGCUGUUGUGGUUGGACUCGCGGGUUUCCAGCUUGUUGGUGGGGUAGUGGCAUACCAACGCUUUGACGGGUAGUCGGCCUGUGAGGGUGGCUGGACACAAUGGGACUAAGAUAGGGCCCAGACUCGUACGGGAGGCAGCAGUAGGAAAUAUUGCACAAUGGGCGGAAGCAUGAUGCAGCAACGCCGCGGGCGGGAUGACGGCCUUCGGGUUAAAAACAGCUUUCGCCUGAGACGAAGCGGGAGUGACGGCAAUGGGUAAAGAAGCACCGGCUAACUACGUG
rnacentral:rRNA from 1 species